rnacentral:sRNA from 1 species
CACUGUGGUGUUUUUAACAGUCAGUGCACAGUGUGUCUGUGAAACUAUCAUAGAAUUCUUUAUUGUUAGUCAAUUAUGAUUGUCUUCUAAUUGAUGAGCAAGAUCUGAGGGUAAGACUUGUGUUGUUAUAUGAUGUCAUUACAUUCAUGAUGUUAAUCAGAUGCAAACGCUCACACUGUUUUUUGAUGUCUAACAAAAUGAUUGGAAUCCAGAGCAUAAAGGCAAAGCCAAGGCCAAGGACUCCGAUAGCUUAUCUAGCUUUUGGGUUUAAAGAUACCGUGCUUGAGAAUGAGAUGAGCAUGUCUGAUGUCUGUCAUUUCCGGAGUCUCCAAUGUAUGGUCUUUUGCCGAUUUCCAGGUAUCAAUCAGCCCAACCGAUACCCCGAUCACCAGAAGGCGCAUAACAGCAUGAUAGGCAUGUUUACGAGAGGUAGACAUGUGCUACGCGAAAGAGCGACUGGUGACACAAGAGUC